UACGAAGGGUGCAAGCGUUACUCGGAAUUACUGGGCGUAAAGCGUGCGUAGGUGGUUUGUUAAGUCUGUUGUGAAAGCCCCGGGCUCAACCUGGGAAUGGCAAUGGAUACUGGCAGGCUAGAGUGCGGUAGAGGGUAGUGGAAUUCCCGGUGUAGCGGUGAAAUGCGUAGAGAUCGGGGAGGAACACCAGUGGCGAAGGCGGCUACCUGGACCAGCACUGACGCUGAGGAGCGAAAGCAUGGGGAGCGAACAGG
rnacentral:rRNA from 1 species